AGAGUUUGAUCAUGGCUCAGGACGAACGCUGGCGGCGUGCUUAACACAUGCAAGUCGAACGAAGUUAUUCAGACAGAAGCCUUCGGGUGGAAGAUUGAAUAUACUUAGUGGCGGACGGGUGAGUAACGCGUGAGCAACCUGCCCUGCAAAGGGGGACAACAGUUGGAAACGACUGCUAAUACCGCAUAAGACCACGGUCUCGCAUGGGACUGAGGUAAAAGGAUUUAUUCGAUGCAGGAUGGGCUCGCGUCCCAUUAGAAUAGUUGGUGAGGUAACGGCCCACCAAGUCAACGAUGGGUAGCCGACCUGAGAGGGUGAUCGGCCACACUGGAACUGAGACACGGUCCAGACUCCUACGGGAGGCAGCAGUGGGGAAUAUUGGGCAAUGGGGGAAACCCUGACCCAGCAACGCCGCGUGAGGGAAGAAGGUCUUCGGAUUGUAAACCUUUGUCCUAUGGGACGAAAGAAAUGACGGUACCAUAGGAGGAAGCUCCGGCUAACUACGUGCCAGCAGCCGCGGUAAUACGUAGGGAGCAAGCGUUGUCCGGAAUUACUGGGCGUAAAGGGUGCGUAGGUGGUCAUGUAAGUCAGAUGUGAAAGACCCGGGCUUAACCCGGGGGCUGCAUUUGAAACUGUGUGACUUGAGUACAGGAGAGGGAAGUGGAAUUCCUAGUGUAGCGGUGAAAUGCGUAGAUAUUAGGAGGAACACCAGUGGCGAAGGCGACUUUCUGGACUGUAACUGACACUGAGGCACGAAAGCGUGGGGAGCAAACAGGAUUAGAUACCCUGGUAGUCCACGCCGUAAACGAUGGAUACUAGGUGUGGGGCCCGAUAGGGUUCCGUGCCGAAGCAAACGCAUUAAGUAUCCCGCCUGGGGAGUACGAUCAGCAAGGUUGAAACUCAAAGGAAUUGACGGGGGCCCGCACAAGCAGCGGAGCAUGUGGUUUAAUUCGAAGCAACGCGAAGAACCUUACCAAGGCUUGACAUCCUCUGACGACUGUAGAGAUACAGUUUCCCUUUCGGGGCAGAGAGACAGGUGGUGCAUGGUUGUCGUCAGCUCGUGUCGUGAGAUGUUGGGUUAAGUCCCGCAACGAGCGCAACCCUUAUUGCUUAGUUGCCAGCGAGUAAAGUCGGGAACUCUAGUGAGACUGCCGGGGACAACUCGGAGGAAGGUGGGGACGACGUCAAAUCAUCAUGCCCCUUAUGUCUUGGGCUACACACGUGCUACAAUGGCCGGUACAAAGGGCAGCGAACCCGUAAGGGGAAGCGAAUCUCAAAAAGCCGGUCCCAGUUCGGAUUGUGGGCUGCAACCCGCCCCACAUGAAGUCGGAGUUGCUAGUAAUCGCGAAUCAGCAUGUCGCGGUGAAUGCGUUCCCGGGCCUUGUACACACCGCCCGUCACACCACGGAAGUUGGGAGCACCCGAAGCCAGUGGCUUAACCGCAAGGGGAGAGCUGUCGAAGGUGAGAUCAAUGACUGGGGUGAAGUCGUAACAGGGGUAGCCGUC
rnacentral:rRNA from 1 species